rnacentral:lncRNA from 1 species
CUCAAAGAUCAAGUGAAAGAUAUGGGAAGGUCUGGUCGAACCAAAAUAAAUCAAGUGCACAAUGCAAUUUAAACUAAACCGAGAAAAUAUGCAAUUAUGAACCGAAAUGAAAUAAAGUAUGCAAAAAUUAUUUUUCUUUUGGUUUUCUCAAUGCAAACACGAAAUGAAUCAAUAUGAUAUGAUAAUAAACACAAAUGAAAAGAAAAUAUGGAAAGCAAACUAAUGCUGAUAUAUUUUUUUUUUUUUUUAUAAUUUUCUUUGAUGCAAACAAUUAAACCACUUAUGCAAAAGAUAUAAACUAAGCUUGAAAAUAUUUUAUUUUUAUUUUCUGAUGCAAUCACGAAAUGGACCAACUAAUAUGAUAUGAAACAAUAACUAGGAUGAUUUCUUUUGGCUUUUAAAUUUAUGGAUGCAAAUGAAAAGGAAUCAAAUUCAAAACAGCACUUUUUAUGGUAUUUUCUUUUAUGGAAACUAAUGAAUGCAAACACUUUUCUUUUGGGAUUUUCGAUUUUAAAUGAAUCAAACAAAACUUUUUCUUUUCUUUUUCGUGGCUCUUAGCAGGAUGAACAGCAAGAACACAAAACAAAUGCAGAAACAAAACUUGAAACAAAGAAACAGUUUUUUUAUGGAUUUUCG